GAAUACAGAAUAUACACAGAAAUUUCCAUAACAUUUAGAGAGUUUGAUGUUACAAAUUAGGGAUGGUCUCAUGACAAGGGCUAAAGUUGAUGGACAGUAGGUGACCCCGAGGAGUUGUCAAGAAGAAUAGUUUGAACUAUUUUACAGCAUUUAGCAACUUAUGAAGAAGUGAUUUCAGUGAUAAUACAAUUGGGUUUAUGGUCAGUUCCACAGACUGGAGCACUAGUGCCUU
rnacentral:misc_RNA from 1 species